AACGAAACGCUGGCGGCAGGCCUAACACAUGCAAGUCGAGCGCACCCUUCGGGGCGAGCGGCGGACGGGUUAGUAACGCGUGGGAACAUACCCUUUUCUACGGAAUAGCCUCGGGAAACUGAGAGUAAUACCGUAUAAGCCCUUCGGGGGAAAGAUUAUCGGGAAAGGAUUGGCCCGCGUUAGAUUAGAUAGUUGGUGGGGUAAUGGCCUACCAAGUCUACGAUCUAUAGCUGGUUUUAGAGGAUGAUCAGCAACACUGGGACUGAGACACGGCCCAGACUCCUACGGGAGGCAGCAGUGGGGAAUCUUAGACAAUGGGCGCAAGCCUGAUCUAGCCAUGCCGCGUGUGUGAUGAAGGCCUUAGGGUCGUAAAGCACUUUCGCUAGGGAUGAUAAUGACAGUACCUAGUAAAGAAACCCCGGCUAACUCCGUGCCAGCAGCCGCGGUAAUACGGAGGGGGUUAGCGUUGUUCGGAAUUACUGGGCGUAAAGCGUACGUAGGCGGAUCAGAAAGUAUAGGGUGAAAUCCCGAGGCUCAACCUCGGAACUGCCUUGUAAACUCCUGGUCUUGAGUUCGAGAGAGGUGAGUGGAAUUCAAGUGUAGAGGUGAAAUUCGUAGAUAUUUGGAGGAACACCAGUGGCGAAGGCGGCUCACUGGCUCGAUACUGACGCUGAGGUACGAAAGUGUGGGGAGCAAACAGGAUUAGAUACCCUGGUAGUCCAUACCGUAAACGAUGAAUGCCAGUCGUCGGGUAGCAUGCUAUUCGGUGACACACCUAACGGAUUAAGCAUUCCGCCUGGGGAGUACGGUCGCAAGAUAAAAUCUACAAAGAAUGACGG
rnacentral:rRNA from 1 species